GCCCCGGUAGCUCAGCCUGGUUAGAGCGCCGUCCUGGUAAGACGGAGGUCCCGGGUUCAAAUCCCGGCCGGGGCUCCA
rnacentral:tRNA from 1 species